rnacentral:rRNA from 1 species
CAGUCGCCGCGGUAAUACGUAGGGCGCAAGCGUUAUCCGGAAUUAUUGGGCGUAAAGAGCUCGUAGGCGGUUUGUCGCGUCUGCCGUGAAAGUCCGGGGCUCAACCCCGGAUCUGCGGUGGGUACGGGCAGACUAGAGUGAUGUAGGGGAGACUGGAAUUCCUGGUGUAGCGGUGAAAUGCGCAGAUAUCAGGAGGAACACCGAUGGCGAAGGCAGGUCUCUGGGCAUUAACUGACGCUGAGGAGCGAAAGCAUGGGGAGCGAACAGGAUUAGAUACCCGGGUAGUCCCUGUCUCUUAUAC